UUUUGGUGUUGAUACCUAUGACACAAUAUAUAAUUCAGUACUGGAAAACAUGUCAUAAGUUGAUGAUUAUCGGGGCAGUGCAGAAAAGAAUCGUUAAGACUGCCUGAGGUAUAAUGAUUUAUAUGGUAACCUGGCAUAUCAUGUGCUUUGUUUAUAUAAGUACUUAGAGUAUAUAUCAUGUGACUUUUUCAUCCUUCUUCAUGGGUUAAAGGAGAUUGUUUUAGCUGUUGUCAGGUAUCACCAUGGCUACAAGUACAAAUCUUUGUAGUGCAUGUUCAGAGCGACAUAUAACCAAACAAUCAACAAACUGGUGCUCGGAGUGUGAAGAAGCCAUUUGUGAUGACUACCAAAAACAUCAUAAAGUACUCAGAACCACACGAAGUCACGAACUCAUACCAAUUGCCAAGUACAAAUCUCUUCCGUCCUUCAUUACUGAUAUACAGCAGUCAUGUACUUACCACAACGAAAAGUAUCAACAAUACUGCGUUGCGCAUGCGUUACCUAUUUGUUUCAAAUGCAUUAAAGAACAUCAGAAAUGCAACGUCAUUCCUCUUGAUGAAGUCACCAAUAACGCUAAAACAUCCGGACACUUUCAAGAUUUAGAAACUAGACUGAUGGACUAAUUACAGAACAUUAAUAGAAUCCAGAAGGACUGAAAGGCUAAUUUGGUCAGUAUUGAAGAAAGGAAGGAGAUACACCUUGCAGAAAUUAAACAAAUGAGAAAUCAAAUAAACAAACAUUUAGACAAACUUGAAAAAGACAUAAUACAAGAUUUUGAGAAGAAAGAGUGUCAAUGUAAGAAGAAUGUUCAGAAGGUUUUAUCAUCGAUUAAAGAAAAGGAAAACUUACUAACAGAAUAUCAGACUAAGCAUCAAAGAACAUGCUUCCGAUCUUCAAACAUUUCUAGUAAUGAGCAAUAUUGAAAAAAAAGUUUUUGAAAAUGAACAAUAUUUACAAUCCAUGGUAGAAACUAACCAAUUUGAACCAGUCGACCUCGUGUUUAAAGUAGAACCAGGGGUGCUUAGUAUCUUCGACAGUUUAAAAUCUUUUGGAUCAAUUUAAAUUAAAAAGAAGUCGAGUAACAUUCGUUUAAUCAGAGCGAAAGACAAGCAAGCACAGUUGCAAGUAACACCAUCGAAGACCAUUACCGAUUUGAAGUUGAUUCUACAGAAGAAAAUUACAUCCCAUUUUGAGAAUGUUAAAGGUUGUUGCAUGUCAGUAAAUGGCGAUUAUUUUUUCACUGAUCAUUACUCAAGAAAAACGCUUUCUGUUAUUGCACCAGAUGGUACAUUCAAAUAUAACAUGUUGCUUAGUCCUAGUUAUGUGUUUGACAUAACAUUAAUCGACGAGAAAAAUGUCGCUAUCACAUCAGGAUUUUCUAAUGAGCACACAGGAAUUGACAUAAUAGGCACCGAGAGCCGAAAGAAGAUUAAAUUCAUCAACCUUCCUCGUCGUCCAUAUGGAAUUACAUGUGAUCACGACUCAUUGUUUGUCUGUGUUAAAGGACGUGGUAUAUAUAAAGUAAACACUGUUGAUUAAACUAUCUCUCACGUGAUCAGUUGUAACUUACCUAGAGGUUCCUACGUAUCUGUAUUCGACAACCAGAUAUAUUACACUGACUGUAGAGAUCACAGUGUAGUUUGUUGUGACCGUAAGGGAUCACGUGUUUGGAGUUUUAAAGAUUCUUCAGUCUUGGAAUACCCAAGCGGCAUCACUGUAGAUAAUGAUGGUAACGUGUUUGUUGUUGGAGAAGAAUGUUCGAUUGUGGUCAUUAUAUCAAAGGAUGGAAAACACAACAAACAAAUUUUGACAAAUGAAGAUGAUCUCUGUGAACCGUCUGCCAUUUUCUUUGAUAAACGGACCAUGAAACUCCUUGUUGCGAAUAAAACUGAAACUGCUUUUCUUUACAAUGUUGCCUUGAAUAAUUGAAAUUGAUAAGUUUUAAAUGACAUUUUUCCAGCUUUUUUGCUGUAAGCCAUGAAAUCUUUCAAUUAGUGACAAUGUUUGAAAUUCAUUAAUCGUUGAAGGCAAUUAUGUUUGCACAUAUUUCAUUCUUUAUCAUAAUACAAAAUUUUUUAUAGUUACUAAAUUUCAAAGAAAUUCAAGUAAUGUUAUAUAUCAAUAUUCAUCGCAUGAAUCUAAGUCUGCAUUUCAAACGAAAUGGGAAAAAAAAGAAGAAACUGUUUACAAUUUUUUGUAAUAGAUGAUUUUAAGUUUUGUAAUAGUAGAUUUAAAAUGCUUUGAAUAUAUCAAUCAUUAAAUAACGAGACAGUGUCUUUUUUUUUUAUCUUAUUUGUCUAAAUUAACCAUAUCUAAGGUUUAUUAUAUGAUUAAACAUCUAUUGAAA